UACGGAGGGGGCUAGCGUUGUUCGGAAUUACUGGGCGUAAAGGGCUCGUAGGUGGCCAACUAAGUCAGACGUGAAAUCCCUCAGCUUAACUGGGGAACUGCGUCUGAUACUGGAUGGCUUGGAUUCGGGAGAGGAAUGCGGAAUUCCAGGUGUAGCGGUGAAAUGCGUAGAUAUCUGGAGGAACACCGGUGGCGAAGGCGGCAUUCUGGACCGACAUUGACGCUGAGGAGCGAAAGCCAGGGGAGCAAACGGG
rnacentral:rRNA from 1 species